UGAAGUCGGACGCUUAACCGACUGCGCCACCCAGGCGCCCCUUUUUUCGCCCUUUUGAUGAAGGGUAGCUAUUUCUCUCCUUUACCCAGCUCCUAUUACUACAAAACACAAGAAGGCAGAGACGCUUAACAAGUUGCAUUUAAUCUAAGUUCCUUCACUGCCCCAGGUCCAUAGCCCAUUGAGGUCAACAAGUGGUGCCCAAACAGGGACCCUGAAGCCCCCACUGAGGAGAGAUCGACAAGCAUUUGGAACCCUAAAGAAGGUGAUGGAUCCAGUCAACCGAUAUGGACACCUUUUCGGAAAGUCCAGCCCAAGACUAGAUAUCAUCAAGAUAAAGAAGACUCCUCAGCCACCACAAGGCCUGAUGACCCAACCCCCAGUGAACAAGAUGGCAGCACUGACCCUGAAGAGACCCCGAAAAUGGAAGAUGGCUCCGAUCCCUCCUCCCACAUGGUGACAACUAAAGAAUCUCAUACAACGUGUAGAAUGAGUCUUGAAAGCAACUAAAUCCAAUAUAUCAUUUACAAAAUAUUCAGGGAAAUUUAUCU